AUUAGGUUUAGUUGUCUGCUACCCUGAGAUUAGUAAGGAUUAUCAGAGUUGCAGCCGUAAGCACACCGUCAAGCUCACCGUAACGUCGUCGGCUCCAAUUAAUACAUUGUGGAGAGGCUUCGAGUUCUCCGCCGAGGAGGACUCUCACGCGCUGCUCCUCGCAACCAAUCUCGUGGAGAGGAAUGACGCAAAAGAUUAGCCUCAUGCUAAAUGGAGACUUUCUUCCGCCAUUGUUAAG